GGGGCCGACUGGUUUUGACAGCAUAGGGCAGGGUAAGUAAGCAUGCCGUGCGUUGGAUAAUUAGCACGUAAAUCUGAAUACCCGAACUUUCAAAUGGCAAUACUCAGUAUGCCAUGGCUGCCUAAUCAGAGAUUAGUGUAACCAUUUUGGCCGCCGCGUGUAGUUGCCCAUAGCUACUGCCGCCGCCUAAAUCAAACAAGAAUGGGCUAGGGUUAUUUGUUCUGCGCAGAUAACGCGAAAUUCAAGCAGAUAAGAAACAGGUAAGUUUGUCCGGUCCUGUCCUGUUUCCGACAAUCGAUUCCGGAAUAAGCAUGUAGAAAGCUUAUCGGGCAUAUGUUUGGACGCGGGUUCGACUCCCGCCGGCUCCACAA
rnacentral:tmRNA from 1 species